rnacentral:rRNA from 1 species
UGACCCCGUAACUUCGGGAGAAGGGGUGCUCUAUUAGGGUGCAAGCCCGAGAGAGCCGCAGUGAAUAGGCCCAGGCGACUGUUUAGCAAAAACACAGGUCUCUGCAAAACCGUAAGGUGACGUAUAGGGGCUGACGCCUGCCCGGUGCUGGAAGGUUAAGAGGAGUGCUUAGCUUCGGCGAAGGUACGAAUUGAAGCCCCAGUAAACGGCGGCCGUAACUAUAACGGUCCUAAGGUAGCGAAAUUCCUUGUCGGGUAAGUUCCGACCCGCACGAAAGGCGCAACGAUCUGGGCACUGUCUCAACGAGAGACUCGGUGAAAUUAUAGUACCUGUGAAGAUGCAGGUUACCCGCGACAGGACGGAAAGACCCCGUGGAGCUUUACUGCAACCUGAUAUGGAAUGUUUGUACCGCUUGUACAGGAUAGGUAGGAGCCGAAGAGACGUGUGCGCUAGCAUACGAGGAGGCAAUGGUGGGAUACUACCCUGGCUGUA